rnacentral:rRNA from 1 species
AACGAACGCUGGCGGCAGGCUUAACACAUGCAAGUCGAACGCUCGUAGCAAUACGGGAGUGGCGGACGGGUGAGUAACGCGUGGGAACGUGCCCUGAGGUACGGAAUAACUGAGGGAAACUUCAGCUAAUACCGUAUGAGCCCCGAGAGGGGGGAAGAUUUUAUCGCCUUGGGGAGCGGCCCGCGUCGGAUUAGCUAGUUGGUGGGGUAACGGCCUACCAAGGCUUCGAUCCGUAGCUGGUCUGAGAGGACGAUCAGCCACACUGGGACUGAGACACGGCCCAGACUCCUACGGGAGGCAGCAGUGGGGAAUCUUGCGCAAUGGGGGGCAACCCUGACGCAGCCAUGCCGCGUGAACGAUGAAGGCCUUAGGGUUGUAAAGUUCUUUACCCGUGACGAUGAUG